rnacentral:rRNA from 1 species
GAGUAGUACUAGGAUGGGUGACCUCCUGGGAAGUCCUCGUGUUGCACUCCU